rfam:Schistosoma rodhaini strain Burundi genome assembly, scaffold: SROB_scaffold0001568
AUUCAGUUGACGAGUGCCGAAUAGGACGAAACGCGUGUCAAACAGGAU